rnacentral:rRNA from 1 species
AACGAACGCUGGCGGCAUGCCUAACACAUGCAAGUCGAACGAGACCUUCGGGUCUAGUGGCGCAUGGGUGCGUAACGCGUGGGAACCUGCCCUUAGGUUCGGAAUAACUCUCCGAAAGGGGUGCUAAUACCGGAUAAUGUCUUCGGACCAAAGAUUUAUCGCCAUUGGAUGGGCCCGCGUUGGAUUAGCUAGUUGGUAGGGUAAAAGCCUACCAAGGCGACGAUCCAUAGCUGGUCUGAGAGGAUGCUCAGCCACACUGGGACUGAGACACGGCCCAGACUCCUACGGGAGGCAGCAGUGGGGAAUAUUGGACAAUGGGCGAAAGCCUGAUCCAGCAAUGCCGCGUGAGUGAUGAAGGCCUUAGGGUUGUAAAGCUCUUUUACCCGGGAUGAUAAUGACGGUACCGGGAGAAUAAGCUCCGGCUAACUCCGUG